rnacentral:rRNA from 1 species
UACGUAGGUGGCAAGCGUUGUCCGGAUUUACUGGGCGUAAAGGGCGUGCAGGCGGUCUGUUAAGUGCAGGGUGAAAGCUCCCGGCUCAACUGGGAGAGGUCCUUGCAUACUGGCGGACUUGAGGGGGGUAGAGGAAAGUGGAAUUCCACGUGUAGCGGUGAAAUGCGUAGAGAUGUGGAGGAACACCAGUGGCGAAGGCGACUCUUUGGCCUGUAACUGACACUGAGGCGCGAAAGCGUGGGGAGCAAACAGG